GGUCUCUGACAAACCAAAACAAACAAAGCGUGCAUUAACAGAUCGAUAAAAAUAUGUAGCGAGUAGCGAGCGUAAUGUAGAUAAAUGGAACUGAGUAAAAGUACCGCUUCUUCUUCGAAAAUAUACUCAAGUAAAAGUUAAAAAAGGUGAGCUCCGGCUGGUUUCUCGAUUGGCAGCGAGAAAACACAGGAGUCGACUCGGUUGGAAGGUAGCGGGGCAUAGAAGUUGUCCGCCAGCAGUAAACUGGCUCACAGAGAAAGCGGUUUAUCUUCGGUGCAGCUACAACGGAAAGGCGAUGGUUUGUAUGCACAGCAGGCAUUUAUUGAUACAGUGGCCAUCAUCAUCAACGUCAUGGCUGUGUCGCCGGGAUUCCCUGCAUCUCUGCCAAUGAGGAGCGUCAGGUUGGAGGGCACCGGUGCUGCUAUCCACUGUGACCUGCUACACCAGCCAGACUGCUUUGGUUGUCCAGCCAUUCUGCAACCUAUAUGUAAGAGCUGUUGGAUUUUUUUUGUGUCAUUUGCCUCUGGUCACCAGUAAAUCAAGAGCUCUGAAACCAAUCAUUGUGUGACUAAUUCUGUUCUCUCUCCUGCUUGCACUUCAUCCUGCUGGCCUUCAUCCUGGUUGUAAGGGUUCACCACCAUCCAAACCUUACAUAUAUAUAUAUAUUACUCAGAAUUACUCACAAAAAUGCUUGCUAACAAGCCUAGUGCUAGCGAGUGAGCCUAGCAAGCUAAUGUUAAGACAAGUAAACAAGUAGAGUCUUACAAAACUUUUGGCACAUCAUUCAUAAUAAAUGGUUUGCAAAUA